GUGUUGUUGGUGACUUCAUCACU
rnacentral:snRNA from 1 species